AUUGAACGCUGGCGGCAUGCCUAACACAUGCAAGUCGAACGGUAACGCGGGGGCAACCCUGGCGACGAGUGGCGGACGGGUGAGUAAUACGUAGGAAUCUGCCCAUUUGUGGGGGAUAACCCGGCGAAAGCCGGGCUAAUACCGCAUACGCUCUACGGAGGAAAGCGGGGGAUCGUAAGACCUCGCGCUAAUGGAUGAGCCUACGUCGGAUUAGCUAGUUGGUAGGGUAACGGCCUACCAAGGCGACGAUCCGUAGCUGGUCUGAGAGGACGAUCAGCCACACUGGGACUGAGACACGGCCCAGACUCCUACGGGAGGCAGCAGUGGGGACUAAUGGACAAUGGGGGCAACCCUGAUCCAGCAAUGCCGCGUGUGUGAAGAAGGCCUGCGGGUUGUAAAGCACUUUCAGAGGGGAAGAAAAAUACGGAGCUAACACCUCCGGUCUUGACGUUACCCUUAGAAGAAGCACCGGCUAACUCCGUGCCAGCAGCCGCGGUAAUACGGAGGGUGCAAGCGUU
rnacentral:rRNA from 1 species